rnacentral:rRNA from 1 species
AUACGGAGGGAGCGAGCGUUAAUCGGAAUUACUGGGCGUAAAGCGCGCGUAGGCGGCUUUGUAAGUCGGAUGUGAAAGCCCUGGGCUCAACCUGGGAAUGGCAUUCGAUACUGCAGAGCUAGAGGAUGGUAGAGGGAAGUGGAAUUUCCGGUGUAGCGGUGAAAUGCGUAGAUAUCGGAAGGAACACCAGUGGCGAAGGCGACUUCCUGGGCCAAUACUGACGCUGAGGUGCGAAAGCGUGGGGAGCAAACAGGAUUAGAAACCCCAGUAGUCC